rnacentral:rRNA from 1 species
CCUACGGGAGGCAGCAGUGAGGAAUAUUGGUCAAUGGACGAGAGUCUGAACCAGCCAAGUAGCGUGAAGGAUGACUGCCCUAUGGGUUGUAAACUUCUUUUAUAAAGGAAUAAAACGAGGCACGUGUGCCUUUUUGCAUGUACUUUAUGAAUAAGGAUCGGCUAACUCCGUGCCAGCAGCCGCGGUAAUACGGAGGAUCCGAGCGUUAUCCGGAUUUAUUGGGUUUAAAGGGAGCGUAGAUGGGUUGUUAAGUCAGUUGUGAAAGUUUGCGGCUCAACCGUAAAAUUGCAAUUGAUACUGGGAGGAUAGAGUACAGUUGAGGGAGGUGGAAUUCGUGGUGUAGCGGUGAAAUGCUUAGAGAUGACGAAGAACCCCGAGUGCGAAGGCAGCUGACUAAACUGUGACUGACAUUGAUGCGCGAAAGUGUGGGUAUCAAACAGGAUUAGAUACCCGAGUAGUC